GUGGGGAAUAUUCCGCAAUGGACGAAAGUCUGACGGAGCAACGCCGCGUGAGUGAUGAAGGUUUUCGGACUGUAAAGCUCUGUUGUUUAGGACGAAAGUGCCUGUUGCAAAUAGUUACAGGUAUUGACGGUACUGAACGAGGAAGCCACGGCUAACUACGUGCCAGCAGCCGCGGUAAUACGUAGGUGGCAAGCGUUGUCCGGAAUUAUUUGGCGUAAAGAGCAUGUAGGCGGGAAUCUAAGUCUGUUGUGAAAAUGCGGGGCUCAACCCCGUAUUGCGAUGGAAACUGGGUGUCUUGAGUGCAGGAGAGGAAAGGGGAAUUCCCAGUGUAGCGGUGAAAUGCGUAGAUAUUGGGAGGAACACCAGUGGCGAAGGCGGCUUCCUGGCACAAUACUGACGCUCAUGUGCGAAAGCUAGGGCAGCGAACGGGAUUAGAAACCCUAGUAGUCC
rnacentral:rRNA from 1 species